AMMAGGCAUUCCCUAGUAACGGCGAGUGAACCGGGAAGAGCUCAAAUUUGAAAUCUGGCGUCCUCAGGGCGUCCGAGUUGUAAUCUAUAGAGGCGUUUUCCGUGCCGGACCGUGUCCAAGUUCCUUGGAACAGGAUAUCAAAGAGGGUGACAAUCCCGUACUUGACACGACGACCGGUGCUCUGUGAUACGUCUUCUACGAGUCGAGUUGUUUGGGAAUGCAGCUCAAAAUGGGUGGUGAGUUCCAUCUAAAGCUAAAUAUUGGCGAGAGACCGAUAGCGAACAAGUACCGUGAGGGAAAGAUGAAAAGCACUUUGGAAAGAGAGUUAAACAGUACGUGAAAUUGUUGAAAGGGAAACGAUUGAAGUCAGUCGUGACCGAGAGGCUCAGCCGGUUCUGCCGGUGUAUUCCCCUCGGUCGGGUCAACAUCAGUUUUGUCCGGUGGAUAAGGGCGGUAGGAAGGUGGCACCCUCGGGUGUGUUAUAGCCUGCCGUCGCAUACAUCGGGUGAGACUGAGGAACGCAGCUCGCCUUUAUGGCCGGGGUUCGCCCACGUCCGAGCUUAGGAUGUUGACAUAAUGGCUUUAAACGACCCGUCUUGAAACAMGGGACWCCAAAAAA
rnacentral:rRNA from 1 species